AUUGAACGCUGGCGGCAUGCCUUACACAUGCAAGUCAAACGGUAACGGGCCUUCGGGUGCCGACGAGUGGCGAACGGGUGAGUAAUGCAUCGGAACGUACCUUUCAGUGGGGGAUAACGUAGCGAAAGUUACGCUAAUACCGCAUAUUCUGUGAGCAGGAAAGCAGGGGAUCGCAAGACCUUGCGCUGAUUGAGCGGCCGAUGUCAGAUUAGCUAGUUGGUGAGGUAAAGGCUCACCAAGGCGACGAUCUGUAGCGGGUCUGAGAGGAUGAUCCGCCACACUGGAACUGAGACACGGUCCAGACUCCUACGGGAGGCAGCAGUGGGGAAUUUUGGACAAUGGGGGCAACCCUGAUCCAGCCAUGCCGCGUGAGUGAAGAAGGCCU
rnacentral:rRNA from 1 species